GUGCUCACUCCAGCAGCACAUAUAUUAAAACUGGAACAAUACAGAAGAGAUUAAAUGGCCCCUAUGUAAGGGUUACAUGCAAAUUUGUGAAGUAUUCUAUAUUUUU
ensembl:snRNA U6 U6 spliceosomal RNA